UACGAAGGGGGCUAGCGUUGCUCGGAAUCACUGGGCGUAAAGCGCACGUAGGCGGAUUGCUAAGUCAGGGGUGAAAUCCUGGAGCUCAACUCCAGAACUGCCUUUGAUACUGGUGAUCUUGAGUCCGGGAGAGGUGAGUGGAAUUCCCGGUGUAGCGGUGAAAUGCGUAGAUAUCCGGAAGAACACCGGUGGCGAAGGCGGUCUGCUGGGCAGUUGCUGACACUGAGGCGCGACAGCGUGGGGAGCAAACAGGG
rnacentral:rRNA from 1 species